GACCUUCUGGCGCAAUGGUAGCGCGUCCCUAGAAUUUGGAUCCUGCUGAUCAUCAUUCAGGGGACGAUGCCGGUUCGACUCCGGCAGGGGUCG